rnacentral:lncRNA from 1 species
ACUCUAGUGUUUUGUAUUCAUCAAAAUCCAUUAGGGGGUCAACAAUCUCUCUCUUUUUGAUGAUGACAAAACACUGAGUAUAUGNNNNNNNNNNNNNNNNNNCAUAUACACAGUAUUUGAUCAGAUGUACAAGUAUAGUAUUUUGGUUAGAGCUAGAUACAGUAUGCAUAAUUCAAAAUAGUCAACUUUCAGUUCUUCCCUUAUGCAUAAGUAUUGGUCUUAGUAGCUCUUGAGCAAUUUUGGUAUAUCAACUGAAUUUGAAUCAAGUUAAAUUGUAAAUUACUGAAAUAUUGAUGCUAAAGACAAUUGAAAGCUAAGUACUUUUUGACUCCCCCUUUCUUUUCCAGAAGGGCAAUUAUCUUAAAGCUAAUAUUCUUCAAUUUUAUCUUUUCUAAUUCAACUUUUAAGUAUGAGUGUAAAUUUUGCAUUCCAUAUUUAGGUUUUACUCCAUAUACUCCAUAUAUAGAUUCUAUAUAUCUACUCCCCCUUUUUGUCAUCAACAAUGUAGGGGACAAAUUAUCCUUAGGUACUUAAAACACAAUUCCUAGUGGAAUUCAGCAUGUUACCAU